rnacentral:rRNA from 1 species
GACGUGGGGGGACGAGCGUUGUCCGGAUUCAUUGGGCGUAAAGCGCGCGUAGGCGGCCACGCAAGUCGGGUGUGAAAUCCCGGAGCUCAACUCCGGAACUGCACUCGAAACUGCGCGGCUUGAGGUAGGUAGGGGAGAUCGGAAUUCCUGGUGUAGCGGUGGAAUGCGCAGAUAUCAGGAGGAACACCGGUGGCGAAGGCGGGUCUCUGGGCCGAUACUGACGCUGAGGAGCGAAAGCGUGGGGAGCGAUCCGG